rnacentral:rRNA from 1 species
AUGGGGGACGCCGCGGCGGCGUCGCCCCGCGCGGCGCCGGCGAAGCGGCGGCGCGGGGACGACGGCGCGGGGAUGCGGCGGGUGGCGGAGAUCGUCAUGGUGCUGGCCGCCGCCGGGGAGAUGCGGGGCGGGAGGGAGCCCACGCCGGCGGAGCGGGCGCUCGCGGCCGAGGCGCGCGAGAGGCUGGCCGCCGCCGUCGCCGGGGGCGUGACGCGGCCCAAGGAUCUGUUCCCGGGGGAGGCGGUGCGCGCCGUCGUCGAGGAUCUCGGCCUCAACAGGGCCAAGGACCCCGCCGCCAUGGGGUUCCGCCCGCCCAAGGCCUCCAUCGCCGACAAGCUCUCGCUUACUAAGCGCAAGAUGGAAGAAGUCAAGGAAUCUCCAGUUCAACCAACAGCAAUCACACCUCAAACGACUGUCUCGAGUGGAACAGCUGAAUUCCAGCCGCAUGGGACUCCCAUGUUUGCUGUUGGAUCUCAUAGGACUCCACCAGCUGCUGCAGCCUCGCCUACUACUGCCCCAGUAACUUCUACCUCUGUAAUGGCCUUGAAACAGCAUGGAUCAUCUCCUGUAAAGCCAGCUACCAACCAUUCAGUUGUUGCACUUCCCCAAACUGGUCAACCACAUGUUAAGUCGGAAAGAGGUGUUAAUGGUCCUUUGAAUUUAACACGAGCGACUGUUGGCCACUUGAACAAACCGUUUCACGAUACAUCUGCUAGGUCCAAUUCAAAUGCUGCUGCGAGUAACAAUCAGGUCGUGAAAAAUCAGGACACAAAGGUAACCGUAAACCCUGUUAUGGGGCAUCAGGCUACACCAGGGACAGCGUCUUCUGUUACUCCAAAACCUACUUUUGCCAACCACAAUGCAAUAGCGAAAAGUGUUCAAAAUGUUCUGCAACAACCUGCUAAUCAUCCUAGCUGGACUCCACCAUCAACUGAGUAUAUGCAAGCUCGUUUGGACUGCCAAAUAUGCAAAGUUGCUGUCAUGGAUGCAAACAGUCUGCUUGUUUGUGAUGCUUGUGAGAGGGGAGCACACUUGAAGUGCCUUCAGCAUUAUGGCAACAAAGGUGUUCCUAUAGCUGACUGGCAUUGUCCAACAUGUGUAGCACAGAGCAAAGGUAAACCCCUUGCACCGAAAUAUGGCAAGGUUACAAGAACUGUUGUAACAUCACAGUCUGGUCCACCUGUUGGUGGAGCACAGUUUUCUGUUCAGCGAGUGGGGCAAAAUACGGUUGCAAAGGGAAAUCACCAAGGGCUUGCUGCAAAUGGAAAUAUUAUCAAGCCAAACUCCACGAAAACUGGUAACACUGUACACAACAGUCCUGUAUUGGCUCUGAAUGCUGCUACUGAUCUCUCGCAAUCACAAGCAGCUUCUAUCUCCGGGCCUGCAAAAGGAAAUGCUAAUAAUGCUGAAACCUCCUCUAAUGAUAUGGAAUUGAAUGAGCAAUCAUGCAGCAGUACAGGAUGCGAAUUAACUGCUGGUAGUGAAUUAUCUUUGCACUCUGUGGAUUCACCCAAUGAUACCUUUCAUGGGCAGCAAUCUACAGUCACUUCUAGGGCAAAUUGUCCAGAUAAUUCUUCUGCUAUUGCUGCUGAUACGAAGAUCAAGUCUGAAGCACAGUCCGAAGACCUGGGCGGAGCUGUGAAAAUGGUUAAUAAAAAUGUGACACCUGUGGAUCAAGCAAGCAAUAUUGGUAGUGAACAUAAUAAGGGGAUUCAAGCAACCUCUGAGCCAGAGCUAGAUACAAAGAACGAUGUGGAUAUUACUAACAACACAGAAAAACCAAUAGAUCGAGGUAGAGCUGUUGUUGCGGAAGAGAAAGCCCACACUGAAGCAAACUCUGAACCACAUACAAUGAAAGAUGUAGAGAUGACUACCAGCACUGGAAUCCCCAUAGGUCAAAGCAGCAACAUUGCUAUGGAAGAAAAAAUCACUGGUGAAGAUAAUACUGGAACUCGGGCAACCUCUGAGCCACAAUUGAUCGAAGAUGUGGAAAUGACAUCAGUAAUGGAUGAAAAAAGCAACAUUAGUAUUGAAGAAAAGCCCCAAUCUGAAGCGACAUCUGUAGUGAAAGAUGUGGAGAUGACCAUCGAUGCUGGAAUAGAAGCAGAUCACACACAACUAGCAGAUGGAUCAACUGAAAAUGGAGUAGGAGAACCUCGCCAUGAAGAGGCAUGCAUAGAUAAGUCUGACUUCAGCGAAAUGUCAGAUCAUCAUACCAACCAUCAGUUAAUUCCAAAUGGGGUGCUACCUGCCACAGAUGAAGCUUUAUGCAGUCAGGAGACUAAGGAGGGUGACCUUGUGGGUUGCAGUGCGGCCCUAAGAGAAGACAACAACUAG